GAGGCAGCAGUGGGGAAUAUUGCACAAUGGGCGGAAGCCUGAUGCAGCGACGCCGCGUGAGGGAUGACGGCCUUCGGGUUGUAAACCUCUUUCAGUAGGGAAGAAGCGUAAGUGACGGUACCUGCAGAAGAAGCGCCGGCUAACUACGUGCCAGCAGCCGCGGUAAUACGUAGGGCGCAAGCGUUAUCCGGAAUUAUUGGGCGUAAAGAGCUCGUCGGCGGUUUGUCGCGUUUGCUGUGAAAGACCGGGGCUCAACUCCGGUUUUGCAGUGGGUACGGGCAGACUAGAGUGAUGUAGGGGAGACUGGAAUUCCUGGUGUAGCGGUGAAAUGCGCAGAUAUCAGGAGGAACACCGAUGGCGAAGGCAGGUCUCUGGGCAUUAACUGACGCUGAGGAGCGAAAGCAUGGGGAGCGAACAGGAUUAGAUACCCUGGUAGUCCAUGCCGUAAACGUUGGGCACUAGGUGUGGGGGACAUUCCACGUUUUCCGCGCCGUAGCUAACGCAUUAAGUGCCCCGCCUGGGGAGUACGGCCGCAAGGCUAAAACUCAAAGGAAUUGACGGGGGCCCGCACAAGCGGCGGAGCAUGCGGAUUAAUUCGAUGCAACGCGAAGAACCUUACCAAGGCUUGACAUGAACCGGUAACGCCUGGAAACAGGUGCCCCGCUUGCGGUCGGUUUACAGGUGGU
rnacentral:rRNA from 1 species